rnacentral:lncRNA from 1 species
CGCGCACGGGUGCAGGUCGCCCGCGGGGCGCGGGGCUGGGCCUCACCGCCCGCAGCCCGGGAGCAGAGAGUGGCCCGGAGCGAGGGAGGUGGGCAGGCAAGCGGGCGAAGACAAAUCUCGGUUCCCACAGACGCAGAAAUCAGCCGCAGCGCCGAAGCCAGCCUCAUGCUGCCUGGUUUUUAAAACUACAUUUGCUUCAAUAGCGUAUUUUAGCAAGGGAGUAGGAGGUACAUCUUCUGGGCUCGGAUUUUUUGAAGGCUGUCUGAAGUAAGGGGAGCAGAGAGCACAGGGCGGGCAAAGGAGGGCAGAAAGAAAGGCUGGCCCCUCUCCUUUGCCCCUCCUCAAGUGGAAGAAUCCAUCCAGCAGGCAGGUCCACAUCGCUGAAGGUUUAACUUUUUUUCUUUGCAGCUUGUCAAUGCGACCAUUGCUUUGAUGGGACGCUCCUCAAGACUGGAGUCUUCCCAGGCAGGUGCUCGGACCCCCACCACCCCCCCGCCCAUGCCAGCUCUGACCAGCUCUGACCAGGUCUCUCCUCCGUCUGGAAGUUCUUCUUUGCCUCCCAGGCUCUGCCUCCGUCGGAGGUCUGCACCCAUCAGUCAUCACCUAUAACUUCAAGGAGCACAUUUCACCUAGGAAG